rnacentral:lncRNA from 1 species
GUCAGGAACCGUGGUGAGCUCCCCCUUUGUGAGGAUGCAGCCUGUGAACAGACUCAGGGCAUUCCCCAAUGUGGGUCAGGCCCUGUUUGGUGUCAACUCUGGCCGUGGCAGAGUGACUGCCAUGGCCGCUUACAAGGUCACCCUGCUCACCCCUGAAGGCAAAGUCGAACUCGACGUCCCCGACGAUGUUUACAUCUUGGACUACGCCGAGGAGCAAGGCAUCGACUUGCCCUACUCCUGCCGUGCCGGCUCUUGCUCCUCCUGCGCGGGCAAGGUCGUGGCGGGGAGCGUCGACCAGAGCGACGGCAGCUUCCUGGAUGAUGAUCAGAUUGAGGAAGGUUGGGUCCUCACUUGUGUCGCCUACCCUAAGUCUGAGGUCACCAUUGAGACCCACAAGGAAGAGG